AGCUUUGUUUCGAGGAAAUGAAGCAGAGACUGCAAAAGAUCGAGGCAAAUGAGCAAGGAGGUCAACAGUUUUCAGUAACAAGCCCAGCACUGUCAACCAAAGUCACUGCAACAAGACCCGAAGCUGCUGCAAAAAAGGCAGGCAUCGUCCUUCAGGCCGGAGACUUCCUGAACUCCUUCUCGAGUGGGUGCCCACCAGAUUCCUUGACAGUUGAAGGGAAUGACAAGGUGGUAAACUAUCACCUGUGGUAUGUUUCAGAGACAGCAGAGGACAGCAAGACAUUCAUAUCUAUUGUCUGUAAGCCGGUCGGCGUAAAAAUGUUUUCAAAACAUCCUCAUCAACAGGCUACCAAAAGCAGUCCAGUUCCAGACACUGCAGAUCCACUGUACGACUCCCCACACCAAUAAUAAUCUCGUCCCCAGGAUAGUUCGCUUCUCCCAGGCAUGCUUCACACAGGAUUAUGCGUUCUCCUUCCCAGGACCGUCUGUGUGACGAACCAGUAGCCCUCAUGUGACCAUAUCAUGUAUUGCACAAAAGACUAGCACACGCAUAUUCAGAGGAAUAAGACAGUUUAUUGGGAUGCUGUGGAGGAGCGUGGGUACUUGAGGUUCAGUGAAACCUUGACUAGUGCCCAUUUGUAGUACCUAAGGACCACCUGGCCUUUGUGACUAUUUUUUCCCACUGACACCUGUCUUUGGUGGCCACGUGGAAGAGCAAAAAAAUGUCAUCACAAAGAAAUAAAUCCAACCCACAUCUUUAUUUCAAUUCCCAGACAAUCAAGAAAAUCAGGACAAGGAGUACACCAAACAACCUUAAAAUAAUACCUUAUAGCUCAGCUAAUACACAAAGUGCAAUAAACAAUUCAUAAAUACUUAACCAAGCAGCACUUGUAUCCUUCAUACAAUACUUGAUCACCACAAAGACUUUGAAAAUGACCUUGAACAGAAGUGUCAGACUGAAACAUUUCAUUCAACCCCCUCCCAGCCCAUAAAACAACAAUCUGGCAGAUUGUCCCAAGAACUUAUCUAUGAAACUUAGGUACAUUGGGGGUACUUUCAGAGCAGUUCAGUAAUAAGAAAACUAGUAUUCACCAUCAGAUUUGCCUUCAAGGGUACAAGAAUGUUUAAUGACACUUACCAGUGCCAAUGUAACGGACAACCUGGCUACAUGUUGAUAAAAUGUCCUGCUAUAUACUUUUGAUUUAUGUACAAAAGAGAAUGUAACUCUUUAAGUAACUUCUAUUACCAGUUCAGGCAACUCAGCUGUGAUUUUGUUACAAGCUCGUC